CUGCAGUCUCCCUUCUGUCUUCCCCCGCCCUCACUCCCGGCUGGUUUAUGGCAGAGAUGGGUAGGGCGGGGGACUCUUCGGCCUGGCAUCCCUGCAGCCAGCUGGCUCAGCCUUCAAGGAGGCCCCGGCUGAACCUCGCGUCACCCCGCUGAAGCGCGCGGCCAAGCGCUCCGGCGAGAGAAAGGCCUUUUUUGGUAACACUCAGCCCCGCGCUUUAGGAUACUUCCUACCACCACUGCCCCACCCACCCUUCGACGCGGCUGCCUCGGUUUCCCGGACCAGCAGUGUGUGCACACGACCCCGUGGUCUGCAACUACCAGAGCGUUCCAAACGAGUCCGAAGCCUCGGCUCCUCUCCCCGCACCUCCCCCUCCUGGAGCCCUCGGUGGCCCGCUGACGUUUCCUGGACGUUGUGAACUCGCACAUGUGACCAGAAUGCUGCCAGCUAAUUUUAACCCCACUGAAGAACUGGAAAAAAACAAAACGCAACAAAAAAAAAACCUACCUUGCAUCUGGAGAGAGAACCGCUGUGGGCUGGAUAAAAGCUUUUUCAGCCUGCAUUCCUUCCUGUUUCAGUUUCCAAACUUGCAUUAUCGGUAACCUGAAAAAUGAUGUUUCACCAAAUUCCUGGAUAUUGCACAAGAGGACAAUGAGUCUAUUUCGGGUGCUAUGAGUGUGUCUGGCACAGACCCUGGGAGCCAUUGUUUUCAGGAGGGAGAAUGCUUUGGGGUUUCCUGGUGCUUUCCUUCUAGGGUCUCAAAGCCCCCAAAGCAUCAGGAAUUAAUGGAGGACGUCGUGGAGUCCCUCACCUUGGAUACUGGCUUCUCAAAGCAUUCCUGUGGCGGUUAAUUGUUGCUUCUGGCUGGGUGGCUGGUGAUGCUGGUGACAAGGCCCCCCCUCUCCACCUGAGUCCUCAGGCAAAGACGCGUCUUUGGAAACACCGGCAACCGCCUGGGAGACCUUCGCCCCGUCGUCUGCCUGUCCACUGCUGCUGUAACCUGCCCACAGUCAUCAAGAUCAGUUAGCAAAUUCCCAAAUUAAGGUUCUGUUGACUUUGUUGUUCCAAAGGCUUGUUUUGAGCAGGAUGUUGUGCUUUAAUUAAAAAGAUGAGAGCUCAUGAGUAAGUAAAACUAUUUCUGAAUCUUCGCAAGGAUGUCUGAAUUGCGUUUCUUGCAUCUCACCGCAGGGGUUCAGCUCUCUAAGACCACUGAAAACUUUCUCUGUCCUCAACAGCUGGCUCUUCCCCAU
rnacentral:lncRNA from 1 species